GCCAACACAAAGAAAAACGCAGAUGAUAUAAGCAGUAAUGACCGUGGUGAAGAUGAAGACAUCCAUGAUCAGAACAGUAAGAAGCCGGUAAUGGUCUAUAUCCACGGCGGGUCUUACAUGGAAGGCACCGGCAAUAUGAUAGAUGGGAGCGUUCUGGCAAGCUACGGAAACGUCAUCGUGAUAACCAUUAACUACCGGCUGGGCAUUCUAGACAUUCACCUGUGAGAGACCCCUGGAGCGGGGUGUCUGGUAGAAACGCAUUUCUAACUUAGAAAUGUAAAUCGCCUACAGAUGUUUUGCCAAGUUGUGCCUUU